rnacentral:lncRNA from 1 species
GAACUUGGGUGCCCUUGCCUGGCAGUAAGGGUUGAAUUAUCCGGAUCUGAAAUACUUUACAGAGCCGAGGGGUGAUAGGCUCUGCAAAAGCACUUUUUGCCCCUCUCCUUUAUGCCAAUACUCGCUGACUGUGCACACAAGUCAUAUUCAGUAUUAAAUACAAACCGGUCUGUAAUUCAAUGGCUCUAGCAAGACGCCUCUGAGAGGGCCAGGUGGCGGGUGCAAGUUGCUCAUUAACCCUUUAGAGUCGCAGUUUGCAGAUCUGAGUUAGAUCCCCGGCUUUGAGGUCCUUCAGUUGCCCUCCUCCCCCACCUCCCCCCGCCACUGCGAGAAAAAUGUGCAAAGAGAAGGAAAUUUGCACAUCAAACGAGGGGCAAUCGCGGCGGUAGAUGAACUUGAUUAGGCAGACGCGUGAGAUCAAAGUGGCCGGGACCAAAGCGGACAGGGUCCAACGUGCCAGCACUGCCAAGAGAAGGCCUUUUGUACUCAGGUUAAAUAAGAACAUCCUGCAAGGAGUCUGUUCUUUUAUGCAGCCUAAAGAUCAAGUAAUAAUCAUUGACACUGAUACUGAGCAUGUCGAUUUUGAAGAGACUAGCAUUUCCUGGUAAUGAAGUGGAGUAUAUAUCCAUAUAUUUCUGUUUUCUGGAUGAGAAGACUAACCUAACUAAGUAGGAACCUUGAAGAAUCAUGUUCUUCCUAGGAAUUACAAAUCCCCCGAUUCCAUGUCUAACAUAAUUUCUACUGGCCUCUUUGCUUCUCAUGCUUUAGUACCAGUGCUUCUGAAUUUGAAAGUCUUCAUGCAAAUUGCCCAGGUUUGCUGGCAGCUGUGUCUCAGAAAAAGCUGUCUUCAGCAAGGCAGAAGCAGAAUGAAGGAGCUGGACUUGGAGAUCUCUCUCACCUCUGAAGUUGUGUAAGUGAAGUAUACUGACCCAGUGUGACCACGCUGCUAUUCGAAGACUUACUCAAAGUUUUCAAACAGACUAACCAUGUGGGACUGUGAUUUAGCAAGGAAAACAGCCAGAAUAAACAUGUCAGUGUCUCCGUUUUAUGGUGGCUUCAUGUGCAGCAUUGUGACCUAUACCUCGGAGUUUUUCUUAUACCAGAUGAAGCUUGUUCUAUAGUCUUCACAAGGACAUAACACUUGUCAUAAGUAAAUGUUUCUAUUCUCUUGAUAUCAUUCCGAUUAUAUCAAAACGUGCUUUGAAACAACAAGCAGUAGAAUCACUUGGUAUAAUCUUGUCCUCAGUUGACAUGUUUACUUAUUUUUAUCCAGCCUAUGUUUGAAGUCCAACAUGAGCUCAUUUCUCAUGCUGGGGUGGAAUGUAUGAAGGGAUCCAAUUCUUUUGCAUCUUUAGAGAUUAUCUCAUGAAGCAAGGUUCAAUUUAGAACUCUGAGAUCUAACACUGAUUACUUAACUUUACGAGGAAAUACACAAAAAAAUCUGAAUGUCCAGACAAAAGCUGGAAAAAAAAACUUAUCUGUAUCUGCUUCAUCCUUUAUAAAAUGGAAACCUACAAGUGUUUUCCUAAUAAAAUUGUAGUGAACCUGCACAAAGUGAGCAUCUCCAUCACAUUUGCUAUUACUAUUGUGGCUACUAUUAUUAUUAUUGCCUAAAGUAUUGUCUAAGAUGAACACAGAUUUAGAGAUACUGCUACACUAAAUAGCACUUUCUACUAUUUAGUUAAUGUCUAUAUCAUAAUUAGUAUACAAUCAUAGUAGAUUUAUUCAGCAUGACACUAUCAUAAUAACUUAUUUCAAAGAGGUUUUGAAAUAUGGAUUUUAUAAUAUAAAAUAUUUUGAGAAUCCUUCACCCAGGGAAGUUUUAUUUAUAUAAUUAUUAUCUACUUCUAAUAGAUCCUAUCUGCCCACAAAUCCCCAAUAAUACCAGCUCUACUUCUGCUGCAGUAUAAUGCUGCAUUAGCAAGUUCACCUCUAAUUUACUAGCUAACACACACCCUGGAGUCUCCUUAGAUAAUUCCCAAACCUCCUGCUUUCAUCUAACCAAAAUGAGUAUCUUUCGUUGUUGGUAAAUAUAUGAGUUUCAGACGACUACGGUGCAAGCUGGUGAGCCUUGCUUUUCUAAUUUAUGUUUUAAUUAAUUUCCUUUCCAACUUGCUCCAUUUUGUGCAUUCUUUUCCUCUCAUGUGUUUGCAAUACUUCCCAGGGAAUAACACCUACAUUUUGAAUUAUAGAUUUCUUGAAUGCAUCUUUUAGGUAAUUAAGGUGUUAACAAAGACAAGACUCAAGUAUGAUCCUUAAAGAAUUUCUUGGCCUGGCGCGGUGGCUCACGCCUGUAAUCCCAGGACUUUGGGAGGCUGAGGAGGGCGGAUCAUGAGGUCAGGAGAUCGAGACCAUCCUGGCUAACAUGGUGAAACCCCGUCUCUACUAAAAAAUACCAAAAAAAAUUAGCCAGGCGUGGUGGCGGGUGCCUGUAGUCCCAGCUACUCGGGGGGCUGAGGUGGGAGAAUGGCAUGAACCCAGGAGGCGGAGCUUGCAGUGAGCCGAGAUCGUGCCACUGCACUCCAACCUGGGCAACAGAGCGAGACUCCAUCUCAGGAAAAAAAAACAAAAAACAAAAAACAUUUUUUUGCAUGUUUAAUCAACCAUUAC